rnacentral:rRNA from 1 species
AUACGGAGGGUCCGAGCGUUAUCCGGAAUCAUUGGGUUUAAAGGGUCCGUAGGCGGGCAGCGCAGUCAGUGGUGAAAGUUUGCAGCUCAACUGUAAAAUUGCCAUUGAUACUGGUUGUCUUGAAUUAAUGUGAAGUGGUUAGAAUAAGUAGUGUAGCGGUGAAAUGCAUAGAUAUUACUUAGAAUACCAAUUGCGAAGGCAGAUCACUAACAUUAUAUUGACGCUGAUGGACGAAAGCGUGGGGAGCGAACAGGAUUAGAAACCCUAGUAGUCC